UCGAAUGAAAUCAGAGUCGGUUGUCGCUGGCCUCUUCACUGAGGCAUGUGCACGCCUUCGCUGUUCAUCCACACACACCUGUGCACUUGUGAGACGGAUUGACCCUCUCGGGGGACGGUCCGUCUAUCAUAUACAAACUCUAUUUAAUAAAUCUGAAUGUCAUUUGAUGUAACGCAUCUUUGAAC
rnacentral:misc_RNA from 1 species